GCAUUGAUCACACCCAACCAAACCGAGAAGACGUUUAUCCAACCCAUUCAUCACACAAGACUUUUCAUAUCUAUCUAACCAUAAGCAUGUAUUUAUUACCCAAGACAACCAUAAUCUCAUUUCUACCUAACCAAACACUAACCCACGAUUCAAUUCAUUUCAAACAAGGAUAAUCACCAACAACAAACGCAACAUUAAUCACAAACCACCAGAAAUAUAAACAAUGCUAUGCUUUAUCCAAUUCAACAGAGUAAAGGUUUUAUCCAAUUCAACAGAGUAAAGGUUUUACCUGUACGAAGAAUCUCGGGGGUUUUAUCCGACGAACCUGGAUCAUGCUUCUUCUUCUUCUAUCCAUCUCAUUCUCCUCAGACAUCUCAAGACAAAAACACAGAAAAAAAUCAACACAAAUCAAAGGAUUCAACUUCUUAAUUAC
rnacentral:lncRNA from 1 species